CUGCUACUGGAAACAAUACAAUCGGAUACAAUGUGCUUCAUCAACAUGGUUUACCUUCUGCUAAAUAUUGGGGUUUGCAAAAAGUCAAAGUUUUGGAAGUUUAGGUCAGGUAGAAGGUAUUGUUGCUCUCACAGCUCGUCGAAGUGGGCUGCAUCCUGGUACUCGAUAUUUGGCUAGGGGCAUUAAUUCCUGUUUUAGCACAGGUGGUGGCAGCCAAUGCAAAUCAUGUCUUAACCACUAGGGGCAUUAAGAAGACUACUAGUGUGCUAUGGGGUUUAGGUUGAAGACAGUGAACUUGCUGAUGUUGCUACUGUUAGUGUUGGGAACAACAAUGAAAUAGGAAAUAUGAUAGCUGAUUCCAUGAGUAAAGUUGGUCGAAAGGGUGUAAUUACCUUUGAGGCAGGAAACCGAAAUAAGGUAUCAAAUCUCCAUCGUAGCAACGAUGAACCUGUUUAGAGUAGAAUGCUUAUUUUCACUGUUGAUUAAUUAUUGAAAAAUCCUUAAGAUCCUGGUGAUAUAUAAGAUUUGCAUUUUGCAAUUCAGUGUAACAAAAUUUUAACAUCAUUUUUCAGUGAAACGAAGAAAGUUGUAUUUA